rnacentral:rRNA from 1 species
AACGAACGCUGGCGGCAUGCCUAACACAUGCAAGUCGAACGAGACCUUCGGGUCUAGUGGCGCACGUGUGCGUAACGCGUGGUAACCUGCCCUUAGGUUCGGAAUAACUCCCCGAAAGGGGUGCUAAUACCGGUUAAUGUCUUCGGACCAAAGAUUUAUCGCCUUUGGAUGGGCCCGCGUUGGAUUAGCUAGUUGGUAGGGUAAAAGCCUACCAAGGCGACGAUCCAUAGCUGGUCUGAGAGGAUGAUCAGCCACACUGGGACUGAGACACGGCCCAGACUCCUACGGAAGGCAGCAGUGGGGAAUAUUGGACAAUGGGCGAAAGCCUGAUCAAGCAAUGCCGCGUGAGAGAUGAAGGCCUUAGGGUUGUAAAGCUCUUUUACACGGGAUGAUAAUGACAGUACCGGGAGAAUAAGCUCCGGCUAACUCCGUG